CCUACGGGAGGCUGCAGUGGGGAAUAUUGGACAAUGGGGGCAACCCUGAUCCAGCCAUGCCGCGUGUGUGAAGAAGGCCCUCGGGUUGUAAAGCACUUUCAGUGAGGAAUAACGCCUGGUGGUUAAUACCCAUCAGGAAAGACAUCACUCACAGAAGAAGCACCGGCUAACUCCGUACCAGCAGCCGCGGUAAUACGGAGGGUGCGAGCGUUAAUCGGAAUUACUGGGCGUAAAGCGCGCGUAGGUGGCUUGAUAAGCCGGUUGUGAAAGCCCCGGGCUCAACCUGGGAACGGCAUCCGGAACUGUCAAGCUAGAGUGCAGGAGAGGAAGGUAGAAUUCCCGGUGUAGCGGUGAAAUGCGUAGAGAUCGGGAGGAAUACCAGUGGCGAAGGCGGCCUUCUGGACUGACACUGACACUGAGGUGCGAAAGCGUGGGUAGCAAACAGGAUUAGAUACCCGUGUAGUC
rnacentral:rRNA from 1 species